AGCUCCAGUAGCGUAUAUUAAUGUUGUUGCAGUUAAAAAGCUCGUAGUUGGAUUUCUGACUUGACGCGCCUGGCCCGCCUUGCAUUUCGCGGGUGAGUGCCGGAGCGCGUCGGUCAUCCUUCUAGAGAACGGCGCUACCCUUCACUGGGUCGGCGUCGCAAUCUAGAUCUUUUACUUUGAAAAAAUUAGAGUGUUCAAGGCAGGCUCGCGCUGUGAAUACAUUAGCAUGGAAUAAUAAUCUAGGACUUUGUUCCUAUUUUGUUGGUUUCUAGGAAUUAAGUAAUGAUUGAUAGGGAUAGUUGGGGGUGCUAGUAUUCAGCGGCCAGAGGUGAAAUUCUUGGAUUCGCUGAAGACUAACUUAUGCGAAAGCAUUCACCAAGGAUGUCUUCUUUAAUCAAGA
rnacentral:rRNA from 1 species